UGUCAUCUUAAUAGGAAUGAAGGAGAAAGUGGCUUGUGUUAGGACUUUUUGAGGAAGCUUUCUAGUGGGUUCUUGGGCAAGAAUUAAUAAUAAUGGUGAUGGGCAACAUACAUGGAGCAUUCACUGUGUGCAUGGACCUGUUCUAAGUUCUUUGCAUGGACUACCUCAUCUACUUACCCACCAGUCCCUGUGAGUUAGAGACUACCGUCAUCCUUACCUUACAAACGAGAAGAGGUGCCCACCUCCUCUAGAGAGUGUGCUCUUUAUUCCUGCUGGAUUGUUCCUUUGUCCAUUAAAGAAUGGCUUUGGUCUUCUUGUGAUUUUUUAAAAAUAAUUCAUUCAGGUGAAAUUCCUAUCACAUAAAAUUAACCAUUUUAAAGUGAACAAUUCAGUGGUAUUUAGUACCUGCCUCGAUCUAGUUCCGGAACAUUCCCACAACUUUGGGGAAUAUGUGACUUUUUGUUGCUGGCUUUUUUCACUUAGUAUCAUGUUUUCAAGGUUCAUCCACAUUGUGAUAUGUACCACUAUCUUCUUAUGACUGAAUAACCCUCCACUGUAUGUACACACCACAAAUUGUUUACCCUUUCCUCCGCCAAUGGAGAUUUGGGCUGCUUCUACCUCUUGGUUAUUGUAAGCGAAUGCUUGACUGAAAUAAGACCUCCUUCUGUUCUGCGAUAGUCAAUGAAUGUGAAAUUGUAAAUAAAACCACUAAGGAAGGACUCCA